ACCUGCAAGCUCCAGAUAGCAUUUUGAGAGAACAUAAUAUUAGAGGUGGACUAUCUCCAGGUCCUUAAGGCUGAGGACAGAUACCACACUGUUGAGAUCGAAGACAACUUUAGUUCAGACCUCCAAUUAUUUAGAGAGAGACUCAUGGGCCUAGGGGUGGGGCCUGAUGACCUUGAGGUAGGCCAUGGUUAGAUGUCCAGCUCUCACCUGAGAGCACUACCUCAUUCAUCCUUGAUGGAUCUACUGAGCAUAAACAACAAAAGGAAGAAAAACAAAAAGAAACCCAAGGAAACUAAAGAAAACAACAAAGGGUAGAGGUUGAUGCCUAUUCUAAGGUGAGAAUAGUGAGCGAAAGGAACCAAGCAACUGAAGAAAUGGGAGAAAACCUUGGAGAUAGUACUAAGCCUACUAAGGAGAACAAUGUGCGACAAGG
rnacentral:lncRNA from 1 species